CAACCUGCCAUGAAGAGGAGAUUGCCAUGAUUAUUUUGUGGCUCAGUCUAUUACUCCUCAAAUGACCGUACAGCAGUGGUGCCUUGGGAUCCUUCAGUGCACAAUAGACUUGGAGCUAUUCCCACAGAGUCCUAAUUAAUGAUUGUUGCUCAACAACGACAGCGUUUGAGUAACUGCACAGGCCAGAAGUGCUGUUACACUUCACUGAAAGCAGCUGUAAGCCAGUAUGCAAAACCAGAGAUCACGGCCUCACCUUGCUGCUGCUGCUGCUGCUGCUGCUGCAGAACUGGUAGCAAAAUGAUAAAUGAGUGUGUGUGGAGUGGGGAGACGCAGAAGAAUUCAGCAGGACUGCAACGUUUCUCAGCUAACGCUGGCUGUCAGAACAGACAAGCUGCCUCUGUAAGGUUAUAUACUUUACAGAAAAAGAAGAAAAAAUGUAAGUGGGUAGUCAUAAAUAGGGAAGGUAGUGGCAAGCAAACAUGCCUGAGCUCAAAUAAAUAAGCUGAUUUGAGUUUAUAUGGGCAGACAUGUACACCUACCUCAAACACUGUACAGGCAAUAGAAGAAAAACACUGUAAUGGUGGGAGACUCAUUAGCUAGGCUAAAGACAUCCAAGUCAAGAAUCUCACCUGCGGUGAAUGUGUACUCUCCAUGUACUUACUCACUCAUAUUCGCCUUUGGCAUGCACCACUGAAGUUCACAGAGCUACAGCAGGGACAAAUUUAGCUGUGGCUCUCCAAUUACAGGAGUCUUGCUAAAUAUACAGGGAUAUAAGGUGUUGUGUUAUGUGAUUUUUUUCCUUUGUUCCCUGGAAAAAAGUCCUUGAACUAAAUGUCUGACUAAAUAUGUUGUACUUUAAAUGCUCCCUAUCAGAAUUAUCUCACAGAGUAUAGCAGAAUUGAAAAUAUAGUAUUGUAUAUUUUUGCUGCUAUUACAAGGAGCAGAAAAAAGGGAUAUUGCCCUACAAACAAACAAUGAUUCAACCCACCUACACAUACUUUCAAAGAAACACUUGAGAAAAGAGAUGGGCCAUGCACAGUGGCUGAAAGGUCAUCAGACUUUGAACAGUGCUUUGUUGUACCAAGCAGGGAACUGAAUUCCAGAGUUGGGGGAAGGCUUCCACUGAGAGUGCUUUGACAUCAGCUGUCAACACACAAAAUAAAUUCUCUUAGUUGGAGUGCCUCACUGGGCCUAAUAUGCAGCGACAGUAAAUAUAGAAGUGGUCUCCCAAGUAGCCAGGCCCUAAGUGAGGUCUCUGUAGAUCAGUAACUUCUUGAAAUGUGCCCCAAAGCCAAAAGAAGCCUUUUGAAAUCCUAGGGAACUGGCAUAGUAUGUUUCCUGCUGCUAAUGCUAUAUAAUUGGCAGUCAUCUGCAAUCUGCAGCCAUAACUUCCAAGUGCUCACCAAGGGUUGUGCCAAGUACAUUGCAAUAAUCCAAUUUAGUUGUGCAUAUCAAUACAGUAAAUAUUUAUUUAUACAUAUUUGCUAACAGGACCUCGUUAUUAAAAAAGGACACUCAGGGGGAAAAAAUCUUGAAUCCAGAAGAGUAAUUGUUUUUGCACCAAAAGAGGAAACACAAUGAAAAACAGAGGUAAAAAGAGGGAUGCAUUUUAAGUAAUUGUAAAGGUGUAAGAAUAGAGGAGAGUAUAAAUAUUCAAUAGCUCUCUUCAAAGAAAUGGAGGUGGAAGCAUAUGUAAAAAAUAUCAAACCAGUCAAUAUUUCCCAGCCAAAGUAUCUGAGUUACUUUUUUUUUCAAAUGUAUUUAAAUUGCUAAGUAGUAACUGGUAUUGCUUCCUUGUCUGGAUGACAGGACAUUUUCCAAAUGCGCGACUUGUAUAACACAGUAGAAGACACAAAGUCAGGCUUCCAAAUGUUCAGAGGAAAUGCAAGAAUCACUUGGGACACAGAGAGGAGAGGGAAUGCCAGUGCAGCAGCGGCCUCUCUCCUGUUGCGGCUCCUACUCCAUCAUCAAUUCCCACCCCUGCUGGAGGGGUAGAUUACAGGAAAACAAGGCCCAGAUCCAUCAAAACCAGGAAGCUACAAACACACGUGAAUUUCUAACCACAUAAGGGAAGUUCUCUCUUGUGUAUAAAGACACUGAAUCUAGCAGCUAUGCCCCAUCUUCUCAACAGCCAGGCGGCUUCCUAAUCUCUCAUAUUUACAUUUUUGAGUAAACCUGUCUCCUUAUCUAGCCUUUUCCUUCCCUUCUGAUUUCUUACUGAAUUCUGUCCUGUCCAUUCCUUCCUACUUUUCAAUCUCCCUCACAUAUAGCCUGUGGUUGUCAAACUAACCUGGCACAAUGAAAAACUCUCUUCUUCUUGUACCUCAAACACAUCAUCUGUGUCUCUUAACAUCUCUCUGGUUGUAUCAUCCAUGCCCCCACCUCAUCCAGGCUCAUCCUUCUGGCUAUCCCAACCACCACCUCUUCUGUAGAAGGCAGGCUCUGAAGUUUGUUCAGUGUAAGGAAGAGAGGGAAUUCUUGAUCCAUUACUAGCACUUUUAUCUCUUUGUUCCUUCUUCUGUGGAUGAAAUGGUGUUUUCAUUGCAAUCCAUUCAAAAAUGGUGUCUUUUUGAUUCCUGUUCACUCAGGAAGGUAGCAAUGUAUGAAGCAUGCAGCGUUACUAGACAGCGGAAUCUUUGCUCUAAAAGCUUCAUGGCCAGAGAAGACAUCCCUGGGUGGUCUUCCUUCUUCAGUUCGCUGCUGAGUCUCUCCCUUCAAAAGCAAGCACAGCAACAUUUAACCACCUAUGCUGGUGAUGGAAAGUCAGGAAAUCAGAUAAAAGAUGAGGCAUAGAGAGUGACCAUUGCCUGCAGUCUCCACUUACUGAGAUGCUUCUCGCUUGUUUCUGCUGAUGUCAAGUGAAAGAAGAA